UACGUAGGUGGCAAGCGUUGUCCGGAUUUACUGGGCGUAAGGAGCGCGCAGGCGGUCGUUCAAGUCGCGUGUGAAAGCCCCCGGCUCAACUGGGGAGGGUCACGCGAUACUGAUCGACUCGAAGGCAGGAGAGGGUAGUGGAAUUCCUGGUGUAGUGGUGAAAUGCGUAGAUAUCAGGAGGAACACCGGCGGCGAAGGCGGCCCUCUGGCUCGUUGCUGACGCUGAAACGCGAAAGCGUGGGGAGCAAACAGG
rnacentral:rRNA from 1 species